CCCUGGUUAGCUCAGUUGGUAGAGCAAUCCACUGGAAAUGGAGAGGUCCCGGGUUCGAUACCCGGACCAGGCA
rnacentral:tRNA from 1 species